rnacentral:rRNA from 1 species
UACGGGGGGAGCAAGCGUUGUUCGGAUACUGGCGUAAAGGGCCAGUAGGCGGCCAACUAAGUCGGAUGUGAAAUCCCCAGGCUCAACCUGGGAACUGCAUCCGAUACUGGAUGGCUUGAAUUCGGGAGAGGGAUGCAGAAUUCCAGGUGUAGCGGUGAAAUGCGUAGAUAUCUGGAGGAACACCGGUGGCGAAGGCGGCAUCCUGGACCAACACUGACGCUGAGGAGCGAAAGCCAGGGGAGCAAACGGG